rnacentral:rRNA from 1 species
UACGUAGGGGGCUAGCGUUGUCCGGAAUCAUUGGGCGUAAAGCGCGUGUAGGCGGUCCGGUAAGUCCGCUGUGAAAGUCGGGGGCUCAACCCUCGAAUGCCGGUGGAUACUGUCGGGCUAGAGUGCGGAAGAGGCGAGUGGAAUUCCUGGUGUAGCGGUGAAAUGCGCAGAUAUCAGGAGGAACACCGGUGGCGAAGGCGGAUCUCUGGGCCUUACCUGACGCUCAGGCGCGAAAGCUAGGGGAGCGAACAGG